rnacentral:hammerhead_ribozyme from 1 species
AUACAUCUGACGAGUCCUAAAUAGAAUGAAACAAGUGUCCUGAAU